rnacentral:tRNA from 1 species
GGGGCUGUAGCUAAGUGGUCGAGUGCUUACCUAACGUGUGAGACACUGGGUUCAAUCCUCAGCACCACCU